rnacentral:lncRNA from 1 species
GGCAGGUGGGGCCGCACCUGCGCGACAGCCCGCCGCUUCCCUCCGCUCCCUUCGCCGCGCCUCGCGUGCUAGCGGUGCCCUUGUGAGCCACUGCGUUCUCCAAGGCCAGAACGGGACAGCAAAAAAGACAGAAGAUUAAAGGAUCUGAAAUUCAUUCAACGAUAAAAGUGCUUAAAACAUUCUAUCUUGGAGAGAUUUACAUUUUAAUUGGUAGCAAGCUUGAAAAGAAAAGAAUGAAGAUCUUGGAUACUUCUAAUCAUCAAGGAAAGGGUACAAAUCAAACUGCUCUGAUGGCCUGAUUUGCACUUCUUCUACAGUUGACGAUGGUCGUACUUCUCCAUGUUCUGAGACCAGUUUAAACAAAAACAAAAACCAGACAACAACCUUGCAAGGGAAAGAAUUCAGAGUAAAUAAACAGUCUUUUUCUGGGAAGUAAAAUAUUUCCCUAAGAUGGAGAAAUUGAGAUGAGAGCUCAUCCACAAGAUUACCCAUCAAUGAGCACCAAUAGCAACCAAAUCCACUAGAAGACUGGGAGCUUUUAAGUCAAGAAACUUACAUCAGUAUCAUCAUUCCAAGAAGCGGUAUCCAAGCUGUUUUAUCGAAAGUGCGCAUGGGAGAUAAGACUCUGAGAAUUUAUAGAAACAAACAUUAGAAGGCAGGAAUGUGGAGAGAAGAAAGCUACCUGACAAGGGAAUCUCAGGAUACAAGGAAAACACCAAGAAGACACCUGCCUGAGGGUCUUAUAGCUAAUGGACUGCAGAAGACUUGAGUCAUCAUUCAAAUUCAGUAGCCAUCCUCUGAUGUCCAGUUGAAGAUUGGUGAUUCCAGAAUAGCUCGCAUUGCCCCAGUUGACUUGCCACACAGCUUCUUUCAGGACUUGAAAAUGUCCUAGCCACCCCCAUCUUACCUCCUACUUCCAAUGCCUUUUAAGAUAGAAAACAAAAAACAAAACAACAAAAAAACACCAGCCACCCUUGUGGGUUAGAUAAUCCUACAUCAAGGUGAAUUCUUGAUAACCAGUUCUGUUCUUCCUUAUGUCUUGUAAACAUGCUAAUUAGAAGGAGCUUGUGUUUGAAGAUCAAGGGAGGAAGAAUUCUGAAGCCAGGGCUAGCCUUAGGGGACAUAACUCCUUCCAGUCACUUCCUGAAUUUUUUGGUACCUGGCUUUUGAGAGUCCUCCAAAGUGAGAAUUUCAUGACAUGUAACCUCUCAACACCUGCAUUUUAAAAAAUUGUCCAAAAUACCGCAGAUACCACAGAAAAGUCCAAAACUUAAGUUUUUCCCUCCACUCAGAGCAUCUUAGCAACAUACUAACCAUAAGACUCUAAGCGCUCUUACCCUCAAUGCAAUUCUCACUGAAUAUCCUGUCAGGAGAACUCUACCUCUCUUCCAUGUUAUUAAGGUUAUUGUUCUUUGCAAGGUGUACACAACACAAAUAUAUUUCUUGGUGAAUGAACUCACUCUCAAAGACUGCUGUCCUUGGGGAUAUAGCCAACAUGCCAUAUCCACAACAUAGGUCUUCUUUACAGUCCUGUUGAAACAUGUAAGAUCAGCUACUAAGUCCCUGCAUCUCAGACAGGAACUUAAUAGAGUACAUUUAAAAAAAAAAUUCAGAAGUAAUUAAAACAAAUUGCAUACAAGCCACCUGUUUAGAAAGUUCAUAAAUUUUAUGCAAUUAUUUAUCUCUUUAUUUUUUCUGAAAUCAAGAGCAGAAUGUAUCCAAGUGAAACUAAAAGAGCGAGGUCAAGGGGAAACAACACAGGGCUUGUGGAGUCAUAAAUAUGUAUUAAAGCAGCAGAGUUAAUUUUGUCCCAAGUUCCAUAUUGGCCAGGAAAAAAGAAACAAGAUCAGCAGAGUUAACAGCUCUCAACCUGAAUAUGCCUCAGAAUUUCUAGGAGGACUUAAGUAAUGAGAUUCCUGGGUUUCUACAUGGACCAACUCAAUCAAACUCUUCAGGAGACAGCUGCUGUUGUUAGACUGUGUCUCCCAAAAUUCUUGUGUUGGAAACUUAGUUCCCAAUGUAAUGAUACUGGCAGGUGUGGCCUAGUGGGGGGUGUUUAGAUCAUGAGGGCUUCAGCCUCAUGAAUGGAUUAAUGUUGAUAUCUCAGGAGUGAGUUUCCUCUUGCUCUCUGUAGCCCUCUCUCUUGCCACAUGAUGACUUCCACCAGGUUAUGACUCAACAGGAAGGCCCUCACAAGAUGUGGAACCUCAAUCUUAGACUUCUCAGCCUCCAGAAGUGAGCCAAAUAAAUUUCUGUUCAUUAUA